rfam:Triticum aestivum genome assembly, contig: Triticum_aestivum_CS42_TGACv1_scaffold_224238_3B
AAAGUACUCCCUCCGUCCAAAAAUUCUUGUCUUAGAUUUGUCUAGAUACAGAUGUAUCAAGUCACAUUUUAGUAUUAGAUACAUCCGUCUAGACAAAUCUAAGACAAGAAAUUUGGGACAGUGGGAGUAGUUG